GCCUGUUAGCAGAUCUUCUCCAAACACUAAUACAGAAGAUAAUGCUUGUAGUCCUCUUUGUUUGGUUUGCAAGUUUGGCUCUUCUGUUACAUUG
rfam:Citrus clementina cultivar Clemenules unplaced genomic scaffold scaffold_7, whole genome shotgun sequence.